GCAUCGAUAGCUCAGAUGGUAGAGCACUUGCCCGCGAAAGGCAAAGGUCCCGAGUUCGAGUCUCGGUCGGUGCA